CAGCAGCAGCCGCGGGAAUACGUCGGUGGCAAGCGCUGUCCGGAAUUAUUGGGCGUAAAGGGCUCGCAGGCGGUUUCUUAAGUCUGAUGUGAAAGCCCCCGGCUCAACCGGGGAGGGUCAUUGGAAACUGGGAAACUUGAGUGCAGAAGAGGAGAGUGGAAUUCCACGUGUAGCGGUGAAAUGCGUAGAGAUGUGGAGGAACACCAGUGGCGAAGGCGACUCUCUGGUCUGUAACUGGCGCUGAGGAGCGAAAGCGUGGGGAGCGAACAGGAUUAGAUACCCCUGUAGUCCCUGUCUCUUAUAC
rnacentral:rRNA from 1 species